rnacentral:rRNA from 1 species
UGGGGAAUAUUGCGCAAUGGGGGAAACCCUGACGCAGCAACGCCGCGUGAAUGAUGAAGGCCUUAGGGUUGUAAAGUUCUGUCUUCUGGGACGAUAAUGACGGUACCAGAGGAGGAAGCCACGGCUAACUACGUGCCAGCAGCCGCGGUAAUACGUAGGUGGCAAGCGUUGUCCGGAUUUACUGGGCGUAAAGGAUGCGUAGGCGGAUAUUUAAGUCAGAUGUGAAAUACCCGGGCUCAACUUGGGUGCUGCAUUUGAAACUGAAUAUCUAGAGUGCGGGAGAGGUAAGUGGAAUUCCUAGUGUAGCGGUGAAAUGCGUAGAGAUUAGGAAGAACACCAGUGGCGAAGGCGACUUACUGGACCGUAACUGACGCUGAGGCAUGAAAGCGUGGGGAGCAAACA